rnacentral:lncRNA from 1 species
UUUUCCUAAAGGUGGUACAUUAUAUGAAUAAUAGAGGUCUAUGUAAAAUAAUUAGUUUAAAAGGUUGAAAAAUUUUAUUAUAUAAUUUGCAAAAUAAUUGCACUUUUUAAACUUGGAAAUAAUACUCUCUAAAGUAAUUUGUGUAGGGAAAUUAUACAGUAAUAUUUAGUAUGGAAAGUAGAACAUUGCAUCUUUGGAAAAUUGGAUAAAACAUAUUACACAUCUGUCUACAAAAACAUAUUACACAUCUGUCUACAUGGGAUCAUGCCUGUGGAGCUAACAAAAAGGAGUAAAUUAUUAACUUGAUUCCAUGUAGAGGCAUAAAGCAAUCUCCCCUGGAGGACUGUUUGGCUUAGUGUCCUAUAAUGGGACAAGUUAAAUGCUUUAGAAAGGUACUGGAUUCUGUUAAAAUAUAUAUAUUUAAUUCUUAGGUCAGGAAAAUUAAUUUUCCAGAUAUGAUUUUGAAUCUGUCUACACAAUCUCAAUUACCAGUUUCAUUUUUUUUAAACUAUGUCCUAGAAACAUCUACCAUUUCUGAGCCUUACACAUGAGUUCAGGAACUCCUGAAUGGUUAUAAUUUAAGAAAUAUUUUUUGAUUAACUUAGAGAAGUUCAUUAUGGCUUUGUUAAAUGAAAAUCUUACCACUUCAUACAGUUCAAAAAUGUUAUGAUUUUGAAACAUUAACUCUGCAGAAGAAACAGUUUGUGAAUAAAAAUUAUAACUAUCUUGAUACUAUGCUAAUUUUUUUCAAUUUUUCACUAUUUUCUUACAAAUAAUAGUGUGUAUCUUAGAACUAUUAUAAUUGAUUAUAAAUGUAUCCUAUCCAUAUAAUAUCUUCACCUCACAUGAACUUUAUGUAGUUGUCAAAAUCCCUUAGAAUGAGUAAAAUGAUUAACAUAAUAAUAUAACAAAUAUGUUUAUAAAUGUAUAAAUGUGUUUAUAAGAAAGUCAUUUAUCAUUUUAUAAUUUUUGUGACUACAGACAACUUGGCAAAUGCAGAAAAACAAUAACCCCCAACUCCCAGAUAUAAUUUUGUUGAAACCUAUGAUAUUUCAUUUAUAGAUUUAUGUAGUAAUUUAUUUCUCUAUUCUUCUGUACCUCUUCACUUAUUUCCUAUUUUUCAUUAAUUAUAAAUAACAGCAUAAAAAAUUACUUUACAAAUAUAUUGUAACAGAUGAGUAAAAAUACAUAAUUUUUAAAAUAAAAAUGCAUUUUUCCAAUGAGGUAUGAAACUUUAUAAACAACCAAUGGAACUGAAACAGUGUAAAAAUUAGUUUCUGAUAAUAUUUUAAGAAGUUACUUUAAAAUUGAGAUUUAGGCUUAAUAUUGAAUGAAAAAGUUUUAAAUUAUUUUCUGAUUUCACUGUUUGAGUUUUGAGGGAUAAUGUUUAUGCAAGUGUGAUUUUUUUUUUUAUUAUGGAUCAAUGAUUUUAAAAGGUGUAGUCCCUAAUCCAAGUUAAUGGAACAUUUUCUUAUAUAGUCAUAAUGUCUCCCACAUAUUAGGUGACCUCCAUUUUUCCCUAUGAAUUGCUUUUAAAAUUGUUGAAGGAUGGAAAAUUACCAUGGGAGGGUGAUUCUGUAAACCUUUGCAUAGAUAGUCGGAUACUUGUUCACAUGUAAUAACAACUCACCUCUUUUCAUAGUCCUCACGUGCAGAUUUGUCAAAGUUAUGACAACUAGGAUGGGACUAGAUGCCAUGAAAAGUCACAUUAGAGACUUAAAAAAAAGUUAAAGGUUGAAUCAAUCCUAUUUUGGUAUUUUUAUUCAUCUAUUAUUGAGCAAUUUAUUCCUAGUCAUAAUAAUAUUUAUAUAACCCUUGUUCCAGAUGUACACAAAAAUUGGCAUGGUAGGUUUUUUAGGUCAUAAACUAAAUUUAACAUAUAAUGUAAUUUUUAAAAUCAUUUUUCUAUUACUAUUCAAAUGCUCACUCUUUUAUAUGAUAAAAACUUUAUAUCACACAGUUAGGGGAAGUUUCCUUUGGUUUUUGCCUAGAGUUUUUUAAAAAUCUCAUUAGACUUUGAAACCAAGGUCUUUGAGAAAAACAUUAAGAAAAACAAAGAGAACAAUCCAUUAGUUAUAUGCAGAGGAGAAUGAACAAUAGGCAGGGGUAAGAAAGCAGGCAUUUUCUGAUCCCACAGGUUACCAGUGACUGUAUUCUCUUUGCCCUAUUCAAAACCAAUAACAAGGUUCAUCAGCUUGCUGUACCCUAUAUAAUCUGCUCUUGGACUUACAAGAAAACAUUUACCGACUUCCACACUGUAUGAAACUCCCUCAGAGCUAUCUCAUACCCAACUGCCCAUAGUAGGCAAUGAAGUUCGUCUCUUCCUCCUUUCCUUCCUGCCCCUUCUGCUCCUCCUCCUCCUUCUUUACCAUACUUAUCUCGAAAAAAAAAAAAGAAAAAA